GUAUCGGUGUCCAUGCAGAACCUGUAUACUGAUAAUCCUGAAAACUCUGUCAAAGAUGGAGAUGUCAUGCUAAGAAGUUCUGAUUGCCAUCGUGGUAUUGAACUUGAAGAAUUAUUGAAACAGACGACGUCUACAAGGCAAGUAUUGGAUAAUCUAACUUAUCAUUUGAGCACUAUCAACAUGGUACUUACCUCAAUAUUUUGUGAGCUUUUCAAUCAUUCAAUAUUCUGCAAGCUAAGGAAUAAGGAUACAAUAUGUGGGAACCUCACAGCACCACCUUGGCCAUAUGAUCAACAGAUCAAGAAUGUUUCUGCCAACAUGCUACAAAGAACUGUGGAUUAUCCUUGUCUGAUUCUUUUGAUAUUUUGUUGAGAUUUAAUGGAAUCAGUGAUAAAAUGCUUAUAUUUUUCAUUUUGGUGACAAAUGACUGUAUUUCGGUACGAGUGACUCGGAACCAAGAUGUGGAAGGUUCUCUGUUAUUUGCUUGAAGGACAAUUGCAAUUUUUGACAGGAGUGAGUUUGAAUAUUUGGCUGGGUUGUUGCGAUCCAGAACUGUUGGAUACAAUAAAUCGCAGGCAGAAGUUGGUAAUAUAAAGCAAACAGAGUCCAGCGAGAAGGAAAAUGGAUCUAGAGGCUUACCUGUUAAUUUCUCCAUUAGAUCAUACAGUGUUGCUGAUCAAGUUGCUUCACCUGCAGAACUUGCAAAGGCAUAUAUGGGUUCAAGACGUCCAGAGGGGUCACCCUUGCGCCUUAGAUUGCAUGACCCCUCUUUUCUACCCAAUAAACCAGUAGAAGCAAUCACAGUAGAUAAAUCUCUGAACCCCACACUUCUCCAAAGUUCAAGAUUGUUUGCUUCCACGUCCUUUUAUCAUCUUGGAAGCAAAUAUAUGACUCCAAAUAAAUCAGCAAUACACAAAAUGUCAUUGUCUACUUACUUCAAGGUUUUUAUUUCUCAUUUACUCUUUUAGUAUAUUGCUCAUGCAUGCUCAUGGUAUGCUCAAGAGUACACCC